rnacentral:tRNA from 1 species
AUUUAUAUAAUAUAUUUAGUAUAUUUGACUUCCAAUCAAAAAGUUUAAUAAUUUUAAUAUAGAUA